GACGAACGCUGGCGGCGUGCUUAACACAUGCAAGUCGAACGGAAAGGCCCUGCUUUUGUGGGGUGCUCGCGUGGCGAACGGGUGAGUAACACGUGAGUAACCUGCCCUUGACUUUGGGAUAACUUCAGGAAACUGGGGCUAAUACCGGCUAGGAGCUCCUGCUGCAUGGUGGGGGUUGGAAAGUUUCGGCGGUUGGGGAUGGACUCGCGGCUUAUCAGCUUGUUGGUGGGGUAGUGGCUUACCAAGGCUUUGACGGGUAGCCGGCCUGAGAGGGUGACCGGCCACAUUGGGACUGGGAUACGGCCCAGACUCCUACGGGAGGCAGCAGUGGGGAAUAUUGCACAAUGGGCGGAAGCCUGAUGCAGCAACGCCGCGUGCGGGAUGACGGCCUUCGGGUUGUAAACCGCUUUCGCCUGUGACGAAGCGUGAGUGACGGUAAUGGGUAAAGAAGCACCGGCUAACUACGUG
rnacentral:rRNA from 1 species